UACAGGGGGUGCAAACGUUGCUCGGAAUCAUUGGGCGUAAAGCGCACGUAGGCGGUCUGUUAUGUCGGAUGUGAAAGCCCUCGGCUUAACUGAGGAAGUGCAUCCGAAACUGGCAGGCUAGAGUACCAAAGAGGGUCGCGGAAUUCCCGGUGUAGAGGUGAAAUUCGUAGAUAUCAGGAGGAACACCUGCGGUGUAGACGGCUUACUGGACGGUAACUGACGCUGAGGCACGAAAGCGUGGGUAGCAAACAGG
rnacentral:rRNA from 1 species